GGUGCCUCCAGGGCUGGGCACAGGGGCAGGAUCCCUCCCUGACCGGCUGGGAAUGCUGUGCCCGAAGAUCCCACUGGCCUCUUGUCCCCCAGGACUCUGCUGGCUUGGGGACAGCUCUUUGUCCACCAGCACCCUCAGGCCCUUCUCCUCACUUCAUCCCCACAGAAAUGCAUCUCCAGACAGAUUUUUGGGAAGGAUUUGAGUGCUCUGGAGAAGAGUUCGGGCUCUCUUGUGAGGGGGAUUGCCCCAGGAUCCAUGCUGAUGGAAGCCAAGGCCAGGACACUGUCCCUCACCCAGCAGGAAUCAUUCCCCAGAUCCCCAUCAGUGCCACCUUCCUGGGAUCCAGAUCCACCUGGAGAGACUGAAAUACAAAACAGCAACAAAAUAAAGCAGAUCCCACAGAAUCCAUUAGGCUGGAAAAGACCUCUGAGAUCAUCCUAUAAUCCCAAGUGAAGCCAAGAACUCCUCUGGAGAUCAGCAGUGCUCAUGUCCAGGUGAUAUCAGCCUCCCAAAAAAAGAGCUGUUCCAGGAGGAAGAGGAUGCUGAGCCAAGGCAUGCAAGUAUUUCCUUAAGGAAUUUCCUCCUGUUGAUUACAGUUUUCCAUGAAAUAUUUACAUGGCUACAGCUUCAGUUAUGCUGCUGCCCUGAUGCUGUCACACUGAUAAACUGCUUUGUAAUAAUUAAAUUUAGUUCAUUAAAUUCCUUGCUAAUUAA